rnacentral:rRNA from 1 species
GAUGAACGCUGACAGAAUGCUUAACACAUGCAAGUCGACUCGAGUCUUCGGACUUGGGUGGCGGACGGGUGAGUAACGCGUAAAGAACUUGCCUCAUAGUUUGGGACAACAUUUGGAAACGAAUGCUAAUCCCGGAUAUUAUGUUUUUCCCGCAUGGGAGGAACAUGAAACCUAUACGCGCUAUGAGAUCGCUUUGCGUCCCAUUAGCUAGUUGGUGAGGUAACGGCACACCAAGGCGAUGAUGGGUAGACGGCCUGAGAGAGUGAACGGCCACAAGGGGACUGAGACACGGCCCUUACUCCUACGGGAGGCAGCAGUGGGGAAUAUUGGACAAUGGACCACAAGUCUGAUCCAGCAAUUCUGUGUGCACGAUGACGUUUUUCGGAAUGUAAAGUGCUUUCAGUCGGGAAGAAGCAAGUGAAGGUACCGACAGAAGAAGCGACGGCUAAAUACGUGCCAGCAGCCGCAGUAA